CGCAUAUUGAACACUGGACGCAGAGCACGCUGAAAGUUUAGAGGCUACUAAUUUCUUAGUUGUUUUUGAAUAAUCUAAAAUAAGUAACAAAAUUCUAUAUAUUUCGGAGAUUUUCUUUUUAUUUACCAUUGUUUAUGUGGUUGCUGCUGGUUGGUGGUGCCGUCGUCCGAUUGCUGUCCUGCUGCUUCCCGCUUGUUGAUGUCCUGGUGCUUCCCACUGAUUGCUGUCCUGCUGCUUUCCACUGGUUGCUGUCCUGCUGCUUCCCGGUGAUUGCCCUACUGUGCCAGCCUGUUGCCACUUCCUGAUAUCUGUCCUGCAGUUGCCGUCUGUUGACCUGCUGCUUCUCGCCUGUUGCCCGUCUGUUAUCCUGCUGUUCCCGAUUGCUGUCCUGCUACGCCCGUGCUGCUUCCCGUCAGACUGUGCUGCUGCCGUCUGCUGCUACUCAACCUAGUAAAAACUCGAGGCGAAAAUGAUGGCACUUCCGUGUGCGCCGUGCUUCUGCUACUUUUUUAUGGGUUUCGAUUGCGGGCUUUUGCUAUCGGAUUCGUCGGACCGAGGUUUGCGGUUCUUUGUUUGCUGGAGCGGAUGAGUCGUUCUGGGAGUUUGGUAUUAAUAUCAUGAUUGGUCAGCUUAGAGCGUUGAGGAUCGGCGGAGUGGAAGCGGCCCAAUUGUUUUAAUUAUUUAUUUCUAGACGACUAGAUGACCGUUCCCCAUAACUUGUGGUGUGAUACCCGGCGAACCAAGAUAGUAUGUUAGGCAGACGGUAAUAUCAACGCAAAUAGGCUGCGGUCAGAGGGUGCGUUGAUAUUACCAGAUUAUCAGAGUUUAAGUCCUUUUAUAUGGCUGGAACAGGAGUAUAAGUUACAAAAGAGAGUUCUCAUCAAAUUUGUAUAAACUUAGAAAAAUCGACUAAAGGAACUUUCUUUGUAACUUAUCUUCUUAUUCCUACAGUUUUGACAGCUCAAAAACAACCAAACAAUUAUAAAACAUUUUCGCAUUAGAAUCAAUAAACCUAUGCAUACAUAAUCUGAAGCUAUACUAUGUCUCAAAUAACUCAAAGUUAUACUAAGACAGUAUUGCUUGCACUUAAACGAAGACGGGGUCAACCAGGCGAAUAGCCAGUUAGAAUGAC